GAUCUUCCCGUCAGUCGAAACUUACACGACCAUCUCACAACUCCUAGUUUACAGUUUUUAAUAGACUCUUAUACAUUCGCUGAUCAUAGAAUUACCAAAGAAGAUUACAACGAAAUUUUGGUUAAUGGAACAGAAUGUUAGGUUGGAUUUUCCUUUAAGAACGAGCAUACAUGGAGUGUACAGAUUAUUUUGGUUUCGUCUAUUAUUGGAAAAUGAAUCUUCGAUGAGAAUUGAGAUAACACAAAUAAGAUUCUGUCUUGAAUGAUUUUAUCCAAUUAUUAAACAAAAUUCGAAAAUAUGAAAAGAAAUGUUUUAAAAUAUAUAUUGGUAAGAUCUUAAAUAGAACACUCAGCAAAGAAAUGAAGAAUGUUUUGACAGGUUCAUGUAUGAGAAAACUCUGAAAAUACGGUAAUCAUUUUACUUAUAUUAAUAGUGUUGUGACUAAUCUAUUUUCUGCAGGACCAUUAUCGACUCUAGCACAAUUAGAAGCAGCUGGGUAUGUUAACACCAAGUACAACAAAUAUCCAGAUUGGCCCGACAUGCAUAUAAUGUGGCUCACUAAUACAAUGGGAAAUGUCAUAUCAAAUGCAAAGGAUGAAUUACAAAAUAUGUUUGAUCAGUACAAGGAUCAUGAUAUCAUUACUUGUUUGCCAGUACAUAUUCAUCCACGAAGUCGAGGAAGUGUAACGUUAAAAUCAAGCAAUCCUUAUGUGGAUCCAGUAAUCGACUUAAAUACCCUUUCUCAUCCUGAUGACUUGAAAAUUUUAGUCGAAGGUAUGAAGUAUUGUUUAACUUUGGCCUCUACAAAACCGAUGAGAAAACUGGGAGUUUGACCUCUGCCCUAUGUUAUGCCAGGAUGCGAAAAAUACGAACGCUUUAGUGAUGAACACCUUGCUUGCAUGGCUUUGGCGUUUCCUUACACUUUUCAUCAGUUCUCUGGAAGCUGUAAAAUGGGCGAUCCCAAUGAUCCCACUACAGUUGUAGAUGCAACAUUGAAAGUAAAAGGCGUUCAUGGGUUAAGAGUAGUCGACGCAUCUAUUAUCCCAAUGGUCGUAGGAGGUCAUAUAAUGACAGUUACUAUGAUGAUCGCCGACAAAGCUGCAGAUAUGAUACUUCACCAAUAUCAAAAAUAAUUUAAAUCGACAAUUAGAAAGAGAAAAUUUUACGUUUCUGUAAUGAG